CGUUAGUUGCCAUCAUUCAGUUGGGCACUCUAGCGAGACUGCCGGUAAUAAACCGGAGGAAGGUGGGGAUGACGUCAAAUCAUCAUGCCCCUUAUGACCUGGGCUACACACGUGCUACAAUGGUUGGUACAACGAGUUGCGAGUCGGUGACGGCGAGCUAAUCUCUUAAAGCCAAUCUCAGUUCGGAUUGUAGGCUGCAACUCGCCUACAUGAAGUCGGAAUCGCUAGUAAUCGCGGAUCAGCACGCCGCGGUGAAUACGUUCCCGGGCCUU
rnacentral:rRNA from 1 species